GUUAAGCGACUAAGCGUACACGGUGGAUGCCCUGGCAGUCAGAGGCGAUGAAGGACGUGCUAAUCUGCGAUAAGCGUCGGUAAGGUGAUAUGAACCGUUAUAACCGGCGAUUUCCGAAUGGGGAAACCCAGUGUGAUUCGUCACACUAUCAUUAACUGAAUCCAUAGGUUAAUGAGGCGAACCGGGGGAACUGAAACAUCUAAGUACCCCGAGGAAAAGAAAUCAACCGAGAUUCCCCCAGUAGCGGCGAGCGAACGGGGAGCAGCCCAGAGCCUGAAUCAGUGUGUGUGUUAGUGGAAGCGUCUGGAAAGGCGCGCGAUACAGGGUGACAGCCCCGUACACAAAAAUGCACAUGCUGUGAGCUCGAUGAGUAGGGCGGGACACGUGGUAUCCUGUCUGAAUAUGGGGGGACCAUCCUCCAAGGCUAAAUACUCCUGACUGACCGAUAGUGAACCAGUACCGUGAGGGAAAGGCGAAAAGAACCCCGGCGAGGGGAGUGAAAAAGAACCUGAAACCGUGUACGUACAAGCAGUGGGAGCACGCUUAGGCGUGUGACUGCGUACCUUUUGUAUAAUGGGUCAGCGACUUAUAUUCUGUAGCAAGGUUAACCGAAUAGGGGAGCCGAAGGGAAACCGAGUCUUAACUGGGCGUUAAGUUGCAGGGUAUAGACCCGAAACCCGGUGAUCUAGCCAUGGGCAGGUUGAAGGUUGGGUAACACUAACUGGAGGACCGAACCGACUAAUGUUGAAAAAUUAGCGGAUGACUUGUGGCUGGGGGUGAAAGGCCAAUCAAACCGGGAGAUAGCUGGUUCUCCCCGAAAGCUAUUUAGGUAGCGCCUCGUGAAUUCAUCUCCGGGGGUAGAGCACUGUUUCGGCAAGGGGGUCAUCCCGACUUACCAACCCGAUGCAAACUGCGAAUACCGGAGAAUGUUAUCACGGGAGACACACGGCGGGUGCUAACGUCCGUCGUGAAGAGGGAAACAACCCAGACCGCCAGCUAAGGUCCCAAAGUCAUGGUUAAGUGGGAAACGAUGUGGGAAGGCCCAGACAGCCAGGAUGUUGGCUUAGAAGCAGCCAUCAUUUAAAGAAAGCGUAAUAGCUCACUGGUCGAGUCGGCCUGCGCGGAAGAUGUAACGGGGCUAAACCAUGCAC
rnacentral:rRNA from 1 species